rnacentral:tmRNA from 1 species
GGGGGUGUACCGGUUUCGACUGGUACGGUUCGGGGUGCAGAUUGCAGGUGGAGUGCCGAGCUCCUAACAUUCGGCAACAAUUUAACUGCCAACUACGACAGUUACGCUCUCGCUGCAUAAACAGCGGAACGCGGAAACCGGCUCCGCCGCCUUGAGGGGC